GUCUACAACCAUACCACCCCGAAUGUGCCCAAUCUCAUCUGAUCUCAGAAGCUACCAGGGUUAGAUCUGAUUAGUACUUAGAUGGGAGACCAUCUAGGAAUAGUGGGUGCAGUUGGUU
rnacentral:rRNA from 1 species